rnacentral:rRNA from 1 species
CGAACAGGAUUAGAUACCCUGGUAGUCCACGCCGUAAACGUUGGGCGCUAGGUGUGGGGGCCAUUCCACGGUCUCCGUGCCGCAGCUAACGCAUUAAGCGCCCCGCCUGGGGAGUACGGCCGCAAGGCUAAAACUCAAAGGAAUUGACGGGGGCCCGCACAAGCGGCGGAGCAUGUUGCUUAAUUCGAUGCAACGCGAAGAACCUUACCUAGGCUUGACAUGCACGGAAAUCUCGUAGAGAUACGGGGUGCCUUUGGCGUCGUGCACAGGUGGUGCAUGGUUGUCGUCAGCUCGUGUCGUGAGAUGUUGGGUUAAGUCCCGCAACGAGCGCAACCCUCGUUCUAUGUUGCCAGCACGUGAUGGUGGGGACUCAUAGGAGACUGCCGGGGUCAACUCGGAGGAAGGUGGGGAUGACGUCAAAUCAUCAUGCCCCUUAUGUCUAGGGCUGCAAACAUGCUACAAUGGCCGGUACAAAGGGCUGCGAUACCGCGAGGUGGAGCGAAUCCCAAAAAGCCGGUCUCAGUUCGGAUUGGGGUCUGCAACUCGACCCCAUGAAGUUGGAGUCGCUAGUAAUCGCAGAUCAGCAACGCUGCGGUGAAUACGUUCCCGGGCCUUGUACACACCGCCCGUCACGUCACGAA